CAUGGUUCGAAAUUGAAAGGCGGCUUCGGCUGUCACUUAUGGAUGGACCCGCGUCGCAUUAGCUAGUUGGUGAGGUAACGGCUCACCAAGGCAACGAUGCGUAGCCGACCUGAGAGGGUGAUCGGCCACACUGGGACUGAGACACGGCCCAGACUCCUACGGGAGGCAGCAGUAGGGAAUCUUCCGCAAUGGACGAAAGUCUGACGGAGCAACGCCGCGUGAGUGAUGAAGGCUUUCGGGUCGUAAAACUCUGUUGUUAGGGAAGAACAAGUGCUAGUUGAAUAAGCUGGCACCUUGACGGUACCUAACCAGAAAGCCACGGCUAACUACGUGCCAGCAGCCGCGGUAAUACGUAGGUGGCAAGCGUUAUCCGGAAUUAUUGGGCGUAAAGCGCGCGCAGGUGGUUUCUUAAGUCUGAUGUGAAAGCCCACGGCUCAACCGUGGAGGGUCAUUGGAAACUGGGAGACUUGAGUGCAGAAGAGGAAAGUGGAAUUCCAUGUGUAGCGGUGAAAUGCGUAGAGAUAUGGAGGAACACCAGUGGCGAAGGCGACUUUCUGGUCUGUAACUGACACUGAGGCGCGAAAGCGU
rnacentral:rRNA from 1 species